rnacentral:rRNA from 1 species
AACGAACGCUGGCGGCAUGCCUAACACGUGCAAGUCGAACGAGACCUUCGGGUCUAGUGGCGCACGGGUGCGUAACGCGUGGGAACCUGCCCUUAGGUUCGGAAUAACUCCCCGAAAGGGGUGCUAAUACCGGAUAAUGUCUUCGGACCAAAGAUUUAUCGCCUUUGGAUGGGCCCGCGUUGGAUUAGCUAGUUGGUAGGGUAAAAGCCUACCAAGGCGACGAUCCAUAGCUGGUCUGAGAGGAUGAUCAGCCACACUGGGACUGAGACACGGCCCAGACUCCUACGGGAGGAAGCAGUGGGGAAUAUUGGACAAUGGGCGAAAGCCUGAUCCAGCAAUGCCGCGUGAGUGAUGAAGGCCUUAGGGUUGUAAAGCUCUUUUACCCGGGAUGAUAAUGACAGUACCGGGAGAAUAAGCUCCGGCUAACUCCGUG